GGCUACACAGAGAAACCCUGUCUCAAAAAACAAAAAACAAACAAAAGCAAAGCAAUGGCAUCAGGAAGGCAAAGGCCCGCAGUGAGCAGGGACAAGAUGGCCCGUGGCCUGGUUGCCUGGGGUGCACUGGACUCUUUCAUCAGGGUUAACUUUGGAACAGAAAGCAUGGCGCAACCCACCCACCCAAACCAAAGAAGCUUAGCACCGGGCCGGAGACCUCAUCUGUCCUGAAACCAUUGCUGGGAGGCACUAAGUAAAUAUUUGCUGAUAGGAAAUAAACACCUGAAAUGAGAAAUUACAUCAAAGGAAGCAGCCAGGCAUGGAGGCUCAUGCCUGUUAUCCUGGCAUUUGGUAGGUAGAGAUUGAAGGAUCAGGAGUUCAAGGUCAUCCUUGACUACAUAAGGAGUUAGAAGCCACUCUAAGCUACACGAAGCCCUGUCUCAAAUAAAUAAAUAAAUAAAUAGUACAGCAAUCAAUUGAAACUGUCAGUGUUAAGGUGGUGCUGAUGGAUGGGUACCAGAGGCUCGUCCAUGGCCAGCUGCAUGGGGCUGCCUGGGUCAUGCUGAAUUGAUAACCUACAGUGGUCAAGACUGGGAAGCAACGCUCCUUUGGUCACAGUUCUGCCUCGUGUUUGAGGGCUGUACGCACUUGUGGGUCUUGCGAUUGGGGCAUCCCCUAGAAGGUCUCAAUCAUCCAGACUUUACAUAGAGGACCUCCAGCAAGAACUGGCACAAAUAGUCUGUCCAUUCUGAUGGUAACAUCCCUUCACACAGUGCUGGCUUCCUUCCCUGGAUAGAUAACAUUUACUUCCUGAGUCUUAGAACCCAUAGCUCCACACUAUUUUUUUAUGUUUAUUUUAUAAACAUAAAACAUACCUACAUGUAUAUAAGUGUACCAUGUAAUUACCUUGUGCCCAUAGAGGCCAGAAGACAGCAUUGGAUCCCCUGGAGCUGCUCUGUGGGUGUCAGGAACUAAAAACCCAGGCCCUCUGCAAAAUCUGCCACCAUUGUUAACUGCUGAGCCAUUGUCCCAGCCUCUGCACCGUUUUCAGUUAGAUAGGCAGAGUCCCCAUCCUGAUUUUCCCAGUAAGGAUGCUUCUCCACUCGCCAGGCCUACUUCCCAGUCUGUAGGAGGAAGCAGUUAAACUACAUUAUCCCUGAGUUCCUUUUCAGUGCUAGCGUCACAUCUUCAGAUGCCCCACGGCUGUGACAGUGCUGCUCAAGGUGCGGAUCAGACUCCAGCCACCAGCUCCACAUUCCGGAGCAUGGAAGGAUCAACAUGACUGCAGCCCCCAAAGGGUGACCUUGCCAGGAACUUCUGGCCGAGAUGAUUUUGCUGCUUGUGGUGAGAUGUCUUGGCAGACAGAACAUUCAGGUAGGUCAGUACAGGUGAGGGAGAGGGUGGCAUGAACUCCUGUGGCCCCUGAGUAAUGUUUCCCUUGCAGGAGUGUAUGCCUACAGACUGGUGGAUGCCAGCUAGAUGGAUCCAUUCAUAUUGGCUAAGUAGGUAGCAUGAAGACAUAGCUCCAGAUAUCAUCAUCAACCAGAGACUGGAAACCUGGAGCUGAGAAGGCUUAUCCAAAACCAAGAUCCUGUGUAUGGUACCUUCAUUCUGCUGAUCUCUGUCUGUCUUUGUGAGCCAAGGCUGUAUUUUAAUGAGCAAAGUUUUGAAUAGAGUCUUAAUACCUGUUACGGUAGAUGGUGUCCACACUGGAGGUGCCACUGAGCCCGGUGGCCCACAGGACUGGCCUCGAGUGGCUGUCUGCAUCUGCGCCCACUCCAGUGCUGCACUUGGCUGGCCACACACAUCCUUGUGUCUUAGCUGUGUCCUGGCGACCGACAGUUGAGGUGCCUUGGUGGCUCCUUGUGCUGGUCCCUUUCUGCUCACGUACCAGGAUUUCUGUAGGACAAGGACUUGGAACUGUUGGGUCACGGGGAAGACACGUCCUGAAUUCAGAUAAAAAACAACUACAGUGUUCUCCACAGUUCCCAGGUCAAUCUCCUGCCAGAAUGUCUCCAGGUCAAUGUUCUCAGCAGUUGGGUGGAUAAAAGUACUGUCUUGGGUUAGCGUGCACUGUCCGUAUCCCACCCCAGCUGAUACUUUCAUCUAUCCCCAGUCCUAGUUUCCUCUCUAGACUCUGUGCCUGUGUCCUUCCUGCCUCUCCCCUUCUGACUGCCUUCCAUCCUUCCCCUCCCGCUCUCCUUCCCUCCCUCCC